UUGAUUUCGGGCAGUCUGGUAUUUAAUUAACGUUAGCCAUUUACGUCAGUGGUGGGCAAUUGCAUUCCUGCAUUACCAUAUGGCCUCGAAUUCGAAGGCUCAGUCCAGUGGCGAAAGGUUACAUGCCUUUUAAGUGCGGCGAAUGAUUUUGCAGCUCUGGCAUCAGCACAUGACCCUACCCAUCACUAUACACUGAUGAGUGUGCAAGUUGAUAUAUAAAUGACUGCUGCAAGUGAUUCUCCUUUUCUGACAACCCCAACAGCCUUUACAGCAUGUAUGCAUAGCUGCUCUGAAACAUUUGAGUCUUUAUAAAUCAAAAUGCUGGUGCUGUAAGACAACUGUCCUGCCAAAAUGGAUGCACAUUAAAAUGCACAAAUCUGCAUACAAUGCAGACUGUGCAUACACCUUGGUAGAGUGUCAGAGCAUUUUAGAGAAUUUAAAUAAAAGAACAUCAUUAAAGAA